rnacentral:rRNA from 1 species
UAGGGAAUAUUGCAAAAUGGGCGAAAGCCCGAUGCAGCAACGCCGCGUGGGCGAUGAAGGCCUUCGGGUCGUAAAGCCCUUUUUGAGGGGAUGAGGAAGGACAGUACCCUCAGAAUAAGCCUCGGCUAACUACGUGCCAGCAGCCGCGGUAAAACGUAGGAGGCGAGCGUUAUCCGGAUUUACUGGGCGUAAAGCGCGUGCAGGCGGAUUGGAGAGUUGGAUGUGAAAGCUCCCGGCUUAACUGGGAGAGGUCGUUCAAUACUUCCAGUCUUGAGUGCAGUAGAGGGAAGUGGAAUUCCGGGUGUAGUGGUGAAAUGCGUAGAUAUCCGGAGGAACACCAGUGGCGAAAGCGGCUUCCUGGACUGUAACUGACGCUCAGACGCGAAAGCUAGGGUAGCAAGCG